rnacentral:rRNA from 1 species
GACGAACGCUGGCGGCGUGCUUAACACAUGCAAGUCAAGGGGGCCCAGCAAUGGGCAACCGGCGAACGGGUGCGUAACACGUGAGCAACCUACCGAACUGUGGGGGAUAGCCGGCCUAACGGCCGAGUAAUACCGCAUACGCUCUCAGGGAGGCAUUUCUUUGAGAGGAAACCUACGGGACAGAUCGAGGGGCUCGCGGCCUAUCAGCUAGUUGGCGAGGUAACGGCUCACCAAGGCAACGACGGGUAGCUGGUCUGAGAGGACGAUCAGCCACACUGGGACUGAGACACGGCCCAGACUCCUACGGGAGGCAGCAGUGGGGAAUCUUGCGCAAUGCGCGAAAGCGUGACGCAGCAACGCCGCGUGGGGAAGAAGGCC